rnacentral:lncRNA from 1 species
UUUGGGUUCCCAUGAGUAGGAAUGAGUUCUUGGGAGAAGAGGCAAUUCUAGCAAAAGCCAUCAUCAGAAGCUGGUGGCUGUGGUUUCAGGGAAGGGACAACCACAGUGAAAAAGUAUGGUCGUCGGUGGGAAAAGUUGAAAAACAAACCAACAGGGGAAUUAGGUUCUGUUGGCGACCCAAGUAUGCAGAUCAUUUAAAAGCUUAGUUCUCAGAGGAAAUGACCGACCAGGCAAAAGAAACAAGCAGGUGAUGCCCCUAAGAAAAGAGGCAGAAGGAGGAGGAAGCUGAUUCCGGCAGUUUUCAUCGAAAAGGAAGAUACAUUACAUCUUCCUUUUCUCUGAGCAAAAGUGGAGCUUGCCUUCCUCCUGGUGAGCCCAGGCAUUUGACUUCAUCUCUGCAGGUCAACUCAUUAAAGGGGCGGAAGUUUUUUAAAGAUCUGGGAUCAAGCACCCCAAAGGAAAGUGAUGCCGAAAGGUAUCAGCUGAGGGAAACCAAUCAACUUUAUUGGAAAAUGAGAAGGACCACAGGAGCUACGUUGGGGACGAUUGGGAGGUGGCGACCAGGACAUCACAAAGUGCUGUGUCAACUUAACACAGGGCUUCUUUAAUACCUGGCCGUUCGAAGACUAGGCAGUUGAUCGUCCCCAUGCUUCAAGACAAAUACCUCAAGGACAUCUGUUCCCCUCCAGUUGGAUCAUUCUUGCCUUCUCUGAAGAGACAACCAAACGGACAGAUACUGGGCCUCAGACUGCAUUCACAGAUGCAGACAAGAUGGUCAUUUCUUCUUUCUCACGUGGCCUCCAGAGCAAUGUUCUCUCCCUCGCUGUCUUUCCCACUCCUGGGGCAGGUGGUGCUGCCCGUGCUGACCAGGAACACCUGAGAGAAGGCAUUUGAUUAAGGGUCAUCCAGUCUUCCCUUUGAGCUGGAGGAGAAAGCACGCCUUCUGACAAAACGAUAUGACAACCACCAACUGCAAAGUAGGUCUAUGUUAUCUCCUGUUGGGGCAUCAAACACUAUAUAAUGCCUGCCUAUUAGAUAGCAGGGUUGUUGGGGCACCUGGGUGGCUCAGUCGGUUAAGCGUCUGACUUUGGCUCAGGUCUGUGAGUUUGAGCCCCGUGUGGGGCUCUGUGCUGACAGCUCAGAGCUUGGAGUCUGCUUCGGAACCUGUGUCUUCCUCUCUCUCUGCCCCUCCCCCAUUCACGCUCUGUCUCUCUCUGUCUCAAAAAUAAAUAAACAUUUAAAAAAAAUUAAAAAAAAAAG